rnacentral:rRNA from 1 species
GACGAACGCUGGCGGCGUGCUUAACACAUGCAAGUCGAACGGAAAGGCCCUGCUUUUGUGGGGUACUCGAGUGGCGAACGGGUGAGUAACACGUGAGUAACCUGCCCUUGACUUUGGGAUAACUUCAGGAAACUGGGGCUAAUACCGGAUAGGAGCUCCUGCUGCAUGGUGGGGGUUGGAAAGUUUCGGCGGUUGGGGAUGGACUCGCGGCUCAUCAGCUUGUUGGUGGGGCAGUGGCUUACCAAGGCUUUGACGGGUAGCCGGCCUGAGAGGGUGACCGGCCACAUUGGGACUGGGAUACGGCCCAGACUCCUACGGGGGGCAGCAGUGGGGAAUAUUGCACAAUGGGCGGAAGCCUGAUGCAGCAACGCCGGGGGCGGGAUGACGGCCUUCGGGGUGUAAACCGCUUUCGCCUGUGACGAAGCGUGAGUGACGGUAAUGGGUAAAGAAGCACCGGCUAACUACGUG